CGGCACAGAGGGAAGCCAGGUGGCGACACCGCGCGGAACCGAAAGCCGUUCUCAGUUCGGAUCGGAGUCUGCAACCCGACUCCGUGAAGCUGGAUUCGCUAGUAAUCGCGCAUCAGCCAUGGCGCGGUGAAUACGUUCCCGGGCCUUGUACACACCGCCCGUCACACCAUGGGAGUCGGGAAUGCCCGAAGUCAGUGGCCCAACCGGGAAGGGGGGAGCUGCCGAAGGCAGGCCCGGUGACUGGGGUGAAGUCGUAACAAGGUACC
rnacentral:rRNA from 1 species